rnacentral:rRNA from 1 species
AACAAGGUCUCCGUUGGUGAACCAGCGGAGGGAUCAUUAUUAGAAGCCGAAAGGCUACUUAAAACCAUCGCGAACUCGUCCAAGUUGCUUCGGCGGCGCGGCCUCCCUCACGGGGGCGCCGCAGCCCCGCCUCUCCGGAGGUGUGGGGCGCCCGCCGGAGGUACGAAACUCUGUAUUAUAGUGGCAUCUCUGAGUAAAAAACAAAUAAGUUAAAACUUUCAACAACGGAUCUCUUGGUUCUGGCAUCGAUGAAGAACGCAGCGAAAUGCGAUAAGUAAUGUGAAUUGCAGAAUUCAGUGAAUCAUCGAAUCUUUGAACGCACAUUGCGCCCGCUAGUACUCUAGCGGGCAUGCCUGUUCGAGCGUCAUUUCAACCCUCAAGCCCUGCUUGGUGUUGGGGCCCUACGGCUGCCGUAGGCCCUGAAAGGAAGUGGCGGGCUCGCUACAACUCCGAGCGUAGUAAUUCAUUAUCUCGCUAGGGACGUUGCGGCGCGCUCCUGCCGUUAAAGACCAUCUUUAACUCAAGGUUGACCUCGGAUCACGUAGGAAUACCCGCUGAACUUAAGCAUAUCAAUAGGCCGGAAGGAAA